AUUGAACGCUGGCGGCAGGCCUAACACAUGCAAGUCGAACGGUAACAGGAAGAAGCUUGCUUCUUUGCUGACGAGUGGCGGACGGGUGAGUAAUGUCUGGGAAACUGCCUGAUGGAGGGGGAUAACUACUGGAAACGGUAGCUAAUACCGCAUAACGUCGCAAGACCAAAGAGGGGGACCUUCGGGCCUCUUGCCAUCGGAUGUGCCCAGAUGGGAUUAGCUAGUAGGUGGGGUAACGGCUCACCUAGGCGACGAUCCCUAGCUGGUCUGAGAGGAUGACCAGCCACACUGGAACUGAGACACGGUCCAGACUCCUACGGGAGGCAGCAGUGGGGAAUAUUGCACAAUGGGCGCAAGCCUGAUGCAGCCAUGCCGCGUGUAUGAAGAAGGCCUUCGGGUUGUAAAGUACUUUCAGCGGGGAGGAAGGGAGUAAAGUUAAUACCUUUGCUCAUUGACGUUACCCGCAGAAGAAGCACCGGCUAACUCCGUGCCAGCAGCCGCGGUAAUACGGAGGGUGCAAGCGUUAAUCGGAAUUACUGGGCGUAAAGCGCACGCAGGCGGUUUGUUAAGUCAGAUGUGAAAUCCCCGGGCUCAACCUGGGAACUGCAUCUGAUACUGGCAAGCUUGAGUCUCGUAGAGGGGGGUAGAAUUCCAGGUGUAGCGGUGAAAUGCGUAGAGAUCUGGAGGAAUACCGGUGGCGAAGGCGGCCCCUGGACGAAGACUGACGCUCAGG
rnacentral:rRNA from 1 species